CAACGCCGCGUGAAGGAUGAAGGUUUUCGGAUUGUAAACUUCUUUGACCGGGGACGAACAAGACGACGGUACCCGGAAAACAAGCCACGGCUAACUACGUGC
rnacentral:rRNA from 1 species